rnacentral:rRNA from 1 species
UACGGAGGGUGCAAGCGUUGCUCGGAAUUAUUGGGCGUAAAGGGUAGGUAGGUGGUCUCAUUUGUCUGGGGUGAAAUCCUUGGGCUUAACUCAAGAAGUGCCCCAGAAACGGUGAGACUAGAGUACUGGAGAGGCGAGUGGAAUUGCAGGUGUAGCGGUGAAAUGCGUAGAUAUCUGCAGGAACACCCGUGGCGAAGGCGGCUCGCUGGACCGCAACUGACGCUGAGGAACGAAAGCUAGGGGAGCAAACAGG